rfam:Bacillus sp. MTM 13 48, whole genome shotgun sequence.
CGCGGGGUGGAGCAGUCUGGUAGCUCGUCGGGCUCAUAACCCGAAGGUCGCAGGUUCAAAUCCUGUCCCCGCAA